CCAGACUCCUACGGGAGGCAGCAGUGAGGAAUAUUGGUCAAUGGGCGGAAGCCUGAACCAGCCAAGUCGCGUGAGGGAUUAAGGCCCUAUGGGUCGUAAACCUCUUUUGUCAGGGAGCAAGGUCGUCCACGUGUGGGCGUAUGGAGAGUACCUGAAGAAAAAGCAUCGGCUAACUCCGUGCCAGCAGCCGCGGUAAUACGGAGGAUGCGAGCGUUAUCCGGAUUUAUUGGGUUUAAAGGGUGCGUAGGCGGGACCUUAAGUCAGCGGUAAAAUUGCGGUGCUCAACGCCGUAGAGCCGUUGAAACUGGGGCUCUUGAGUGAGCGAGAAGUAUGCGGAAUGCGUGGUGUAGCGGUGAAAUGCAUAGAUAUCACGCAGAACCCCGAUUGCGAAGGCAGCUUACUAAACUGUGACUGACAUUGAUGCUCGAAAGUGUGGGUAUCAAACAGGAUUAGAUACCCGAGUA
rnacentral:rRNA from 1 species